UAAAAUUCUAUCACCACGCAUCAUUUUUAUUUUUAUCUAAAUAUAAAAAUAUAUAAAGAUAUAUUUCUACGUUCUCCUAUAGUACUACAGAAUGAUUUAUCACGAUAUACAGAACGUAAUAUUACGUACAAAAUAAAUAUGAUAUUUUCUAAUCAAAUUUUCUCACCGUAUGUAACAUAAUUUUUUAAUACGCAAUUCUAAAUGAAGUCUAAACAAAGUCUAAUAAUAUUUGGAUCAAAAUUAUAUAGUUGGGAUGAUAGUGGUUCUUUAGGAUUUAGUGAAUUAUUUUUGAAUUGACUGAGUUGGUAGAACAGUGUGAUAUAAUGGAUAGAAUUAAUUAACGAAUAGAUUUUACGGUGAAAAAAUUUUG
rnacentral:lncRNA from 1 species